GAGUAUCUAUAAACUCAGAGGCGAAACGAAAGUAACGUUGCCGAUCCGGGAUCUCCGACGAAAGAAGGAUUUCCGGCGCAGGCGCGAGGCCCGCUAACGUCGACUCUGAGGCUAGGCGCGUAUCUCUUUCGAGGGAAACGAGCUCUUCUAGGCCGGCAGGCGGGCACUCUGAGCGCUCACGUUAGUACCCGAAAGAUGGUGAUCUAUGCUUGGCGAGGACGAAGCCAGAGGAAACUCUGGUGGAGGUUCGCAGCGAUUCUGACGUGCAAAUCGAUCGUCGGAGCUGAGUAUAGGGGCGAAAGACCAAUCGAACCAUCUAGUAGCUGGUUCCUUCCGAAGUUUCCCUCAGGAUAGCUGGCACUUAAUGCAACGGAGUUUCAUCCGGUAAAGAGAAUGAUUAGAGGUCCUUGGGGAUGAAAUUUCCUCAGCCCAUUCUCAAACUCUAAAUGGGUGAGAAGUCGGGCUUGCUUAAUUUUUUUGAAGCCACGACAUAGAAUCCGAGUGCCCAGUGGGCCUAUUUUGGUAAGCAGAACUGGCGCUGUGGGAUGAACCAAAAAUCGGGUUAAGGGGCCAAAGUGUCGGUCAAUAAAGAUACCUUUAAAGGCGUUGGUCGCUCUGACAGCAGGACGGUGGCCAUGGAAGUCGGCAUCCGCUAAGGAGUGUGUA
rnacentral:rRNA from 1 species